rnacentral:ncRNA from 3 species
AUUCAUCUUCGGGGCAGGGUGCAAUUCCCGACCGGCGGUAAUUAUGCGGUAGCUGUUCGACAGCAACCUAUAAGCAUACGAGCCCGCGACCUACUCAUUUUUGUGAGUAGCUGACUUGGUGCAACUCCAAGGCCGACAGUAUAGUCUGGAUGGGAGAAGGUGAAG